GAUGAACGCUGGCGGCGUGCCUAACACAUGCAAGUCGAGCGAUUUACUUCGGUAAAGAGCGGCGGACGGGUGAGUAACGCGUGGGUAACCUGCCUCAUACACAUGGAUAACAUACCGAAAGGUAUGCUAAUACAAGAUGAUAUAAGAGAUUCGCAUGGAUUUCUUAUCAAAGCUCCGGCGGUAUGAGAUGGACCCGCGUCUGAUUAGCUAGUUGGUAAGGUAACGGCUUACCAAGGCGACGAUCAGUAGCCGACCUGAGAGGGUGAUCGGCCACAUUGGAACUGAGACACGGUCCAAACUCCUACGGGAGGCAGCAGUGGGGAAUAUUGCACAAUGGGCGAAAGCCUGGUGCAGCAACGCCGCGUGAGCGAUGAAGGCCUUCGGGUCGUAAAGCUCUGUCCUCAAGGAAGAUAAUGACGGUACUUGAGGAGGAAGCCCCGGCCAACUACGUGCCAGCCGCCGCAGUAACAC
rnacentral:rRNA from 1 species